AUUUUAAAAAUAUCAAGGGGCUGUUUGGGGGUUAUUCUAUAUUUAUACUAAUCACCCAAAUACUCAUGUCUAUAGAGCUUUUAACAAUUGGAAUUUCUUACAAUGAAUUAUAAUAUCUUUGAUUAGCAUACAAAGAUAAAUUUAUAUUUGCUAAAUUAUUCUCAUUAAGGCAAAUGUUGAAAUAAUUAUCAGGGUUUCGAACAAUGAAUUACAAGCUCCUUAGCAGAGCAAAAUAUAUGUGAAUUUACUGGACAAGUCUUAUGAAGACAAGUACUGAAACUAACAAGCUAUUAAAGCUAAAGUUAAGUUGGUCAGAAAAUUCAUGUAACCAAAUCAUUUGAAACCUGAGUUUUGUGGUUAAAAAGCAGGCUUUCUGUUAAUUUAAUUUAACUUAAUUUCUGUUGAGUCUUCUGUUUUAUAAAAUAUGAAAUAGCAGCCCCUUAGUAAAAAUAAAGUAUAGAAAUCAUAAGAAAGAUCUACUAUAAAAAAGGCUAUUAAGUAGAUUAUUGAUAAAUCAGAACUAUUACUUGAUUAGUUUGUUCUCUUCUUUGUGAAUUACAGCAGGAAAUAGUAUUUUAAAAGCAUAUUAGUAUACUUCUAUCCAUUCUUCAAAAUCUGGGUUAAAAAUGUUUCUUGUGAUAUCACUGCUGAAGAAAAUAUCACUUUGAAAUAUUACUUUUUUAAAGUUCAGUUUCUGAGUCCUACUUUUAAUACUUGAAGACACAAUGACAAUUUUAAAUUUUUUAUUUAUAUAUUUUCUAGUAUAUUAGGAUGAGUAAGAAUUAAUUAAAAUAUUAGAGGCUGUAGGGUCUAAAAUAGUUAUUAAGGACAAUAUGGAAAGACCAUCUUUCAGAAGGCUGAAAUUGAAAAGGAAGCAAUUCCAGCUGUGCAGUUGGAGAGUAAAUGGCCUGUGAAGUAACUGAACCAAGUUCCUCAACAUCUUAAGGUGAGGGCAUUUUCAAAUUGUGAAAAAUCCUUAUUAUGAAAUUAGAGUUUUAUUACAUGAAUCUUUUGAUCAGUUGUCAUCUUGGGAAGACUAACUUCAAUAAUUGGUCUGGAGAGAGGAUGGGGCAAAAACUUACAUGGGGAAUUCUAUAGCCUCUGUGUGAGGAAGAGGUUAGAGAUAAAAAUGGUGUUUUUACUUAAAAAAAAAAAAAAAAGAAAAAGAAAGGAGCAACAUGCAUGUUCAGUCCUGAUUGCUUUCUGGAUCUUGCUAAAGCUGCUAGAACAUUUCCUGUGUUAUCGAUUUUGUAUAUUACCUCAGUUCACCUCUGCUGACAGCAGUUGGUUUAGCUGCACUGGGAUUCAUCCAAUAUUCCCAACCGUGAUGUUAAUUCUAUGGCAAAGUAAAUAAAAGCUCUGUUCUGACGUCAUAAUCGCUGAGUUGGAACCUGGCUUUGCCACAGGCAUGCCUUCACAGAAGUCACUUAACUAAGUCUAGGUUCCUCAUCUGUGAACUGAGAAAACUAAAAGCACUGAUUCCAUGGGGUGCUUAGGAAGAAGUCACCCAUGACUAUCUGGAACAACAUUGUGGGGAAGGCCAAGUUUCUGUGGUGACGUGUGGCAAAUGGAUUGUAAAUGAAGAUAGACUGUGUAAUGAAUGACGACACUAAAGACUAAUGUGAAGGACUUUAGGGAAAACAAAAGGCUUUCAUCUGAAAGGAUGAUCUGUGGACCAAGGUCACUCAUACCACUCACUGCUCAUUUUCUCAUGUUAUUUUAAAACUUUUUUCGGCCUUUAUACUGCUUUCAGCAGCAUUUGUGUGUAAGAAGUGGACGAUGACUUUAAUAAAGAGACCCGAAUGGAACUGAAUGGAGCAUUUGUUUUUGAAGCAACUUUUACUGUCCUCAGUUUUAUCUCAUAGAAGCCUCCCUCCAAGGGCACUGCCAUAGACUCACAUGUUUCCUCUAAUGCCUUGAAAAGCAUUUUCCUAAAAUGAAGGUCUUGGGAACAUUUUACCUGUUGGCCAGAAACCUAAAUAGUAAUCAGCUCUGAAGGUCAUUCUGAUGGCAUGGAAAAAGCAUUGUGCUCUAGAGGAAAAAGCUAACUACGAGGGUAGCCUGGGGAGGACCAGGAGAGUACAUACAAACAGGUUUUGCUGCAGUCACACUGCAGACGUUUGACAUCUAUUUUUCUGCUUUUCCUUUCUACAUUUCUCUCAUUUCCUUCCCUCUUUCCUUCUCUUUUGUCCUUUCUUCCUUUCUCCCAAAAAUAUUUAUUGGGAAUUCCCUAUGUGCUACACUUGUACUGGUAAGAAGAAAAUUAACAGGUCCUUCUGCCCCCCACCCCCAGCAUUAAGUUUAAUGAAGGAGAGAUAUUAAUACUCACUCUACUGAAUGUAUGAUUGCAAAGCAAGAUAAGUGCUCUGGAUUAAAGGAACGUAGCUCUCUAAGAAGGUUAAGUAACACAAAAAAACCUAACCCUGGUAAUUUUGAAGAUUUGGGAUCUUGCAAUAAGAAGGUUUGUAGGUGAAGUAAUAUUUGACCUGGAAACUGAAGACUGUGGUGUUAACCAGACAUAAGGAGGCUGGAGGAAGAAGCAGCAUAAGCAAAGGGCCCGUGGUCAUCAACGAUCUGUAUGAACUUGUAUAGGAAGAAAGCAGAGAGGGAAAUGGCAGGUGGAUAAGUAAGGAGAAGCGAGAUCACAAUAGGGUCAAGUGGGUCAGGAAGAUACUGAAGGGUUUCCAACUGGAGGAAAUUAGAGGGCCACUCAGGGUGCAGUAUGAGUCAUGGACCGGAGGGAAACAAGAAUGGAUGCAAGAAGACUGAAUUAGGAGGAAUUUCAGAGUCCAGGUAGAAGAUGGUGGACUUUGAUCCAAAAUCAUUGAAACUAAGAAAACCAGGGGCCUCAGAUGUUCUUUGGUCUGUUUUCAUCUAAAAACUAUUGUAUGGAUAUGGCUGUCCCACCAGGCAGCAACCAGAAGUUAGAGGUGGGAGCAUGGCUUGCAGAGUUAUUCUGGACAUGUCAGUCUCAGUGCCUGUCACGCCCACAGUUGCUUUUGAGUGCAAACCACCCAGUCACCUGCCUGUGAAGCAUAGUGAGCCAAUUCAUUACUAAUGAUUAUCACAGAAUCGAUCACAUUAGCCAACUGACUCAAUAGCUGGAUUCUUGAAGUGGCCUGGUAUAAAAAGAGGACUGGUUUGUGAAUAGAGAAUUUGACGCCCAAGAUACGACACUCCCAGCACAUUCAUUUUCAACAGUGCUUCUCAAUGGUGGCAAUUUUACUUCCCAGGGGACAUUUUCUGUGUCUGGAGACAUUUUUGAUUGUCACAACUAGGGAGGUGAGAACUGGCACCUGGUCUGUAGAGGAGAGCGAUGCUAUUAAACAUGCUACAGUGCACAGGCAGCCCCCACCUCCCCCAACAAAGAAUUAUGUGGCCCCAAAUAGUAACAGUGCACAGGUUGACUAUACAACUCGUCAAAUCCUUAGAAUCUGCAAAGGGCUGUCUUUUCGUAUGCUAAUGAGCUGACUCAUGGCUGGCAGCUCCCAGGUAGCUACAGGAUGGGGCUGGGUACCAGAAAGACCAAGCCAGGAUUAGAGGGUUGGGACUUUUGGCCCCACCCCAACCUCAUGGGAGGGUAGAGGGGCUGAAGGUUAAGUGGAUCACCAAUGGCCAAUGGUUUAAUUAAUCACGCCUAUCUAACAAAUACUCUAUAAAGUCCCUGAGGACAGGGUUUGGGAAGCUUCUGGAGAGCUGAAUACAUGGAGUUUCCUGGAGGGCGGUGUGGCAGGGAAGGCACAGAAGCUCCGCACCCCUUCCCUCAUACCCUGCCCUGUGCGUCUCUUCAUCUGUAUCCUUUGUAUCCUUUUCAUUUCUUUGAAACAGGGUC
rnacentral:lncRNA from 1 species